UACGAAGGGGGCUAGCGUUGCUCGGAAUCACUGGGCGUAAAGGGCGCGUAGGCGGAUCUUUAAGUCGGGGGUGAAAGCCCAGGGCUCAACCCUGGAAUUGCCUUCGAUACUGAAGAUCUCGAGACCGGAAGAGGUAAGUGGAACUGCGAGUGUAGAGGUGAAAUUCGUAGAUAUUCGCAAGAACACCAGUGGCGAAGGCGGCUUACUGGUCCGGCACUGACGCUGAGGAGCGAAAGCGUGGGGAGCGAACAGG
rnacentral:rRNA from 1 species